CACACUUUCCUCAAUUCUCUCUCCCGUUCUGACGUUCUCUUUCUUCCCUCUCUACCCGCUCAAACCCUAACACCUCUUCACCCUCUUUCUCCCUCAUAUCUAUGGUCACCACCACCUCCAAUGAAAAAAUAAAUUCCAUAUUCGUAUUCUUCAUCUCACGAGCUUCCUAAUGAACCGGUUAGAUUUUUGUUUCGAUGAGUUUCAAAAAGUAGUCAUGUUCUAUUUUCUGGAAAAUAAAUAAAUCUAAGUGAAUACACUAGCAUAGUUACUUCCAGAAGUGGAUACAUCUUUGAAGGACUAUGCAGAAAAAAUUUCAGCUUCUAUUUCAUGACGAUCGACUUUGUUCGCAGUUUCCGGAAAAACGAUAUGGGAAGUGCUUCAUUGUGGUCGACAUUGUCAUGGUGAUAGAGCUACAACAUCUGCUGCAUCAUUGGACUAAAACUUAGAAAGGGGUCAAACGAGUGAUAGAACGUAAUUUCAUUUAUUGGAUACCUUCUUUGCUACUUUUUUUCCAAUGUUCUUGUAUCCUUCAUAGGUUAAUAAGUUAAUGAUAAAAUUUGCAUUAUUUAAUUGUAGUUAGUCUUUAUAAUUGG